UACGAAGGGUGCAAACGUUGCUCGGAAUUAUUGGGCGUAAAGAGCUCGUAGGCGGUUUGUCGCGUCUGCUGUGAAAACCCGAGGCUCAACCUCGGGCCUGCAGUGGGUACGGGCAGGCUAGAGUUCGGUAGGGGAGACUGGAAUUCCUGGUGUAGCGGUGAAAUGCGCAGAUAUCAGGAGGAACACCGGUGGCGAAGGCGGCCCUCUGGACGGUGACUGACGCUGAGACGCGAAAGCGUGGGGAGCAAACAGG
rnacentral:rRNA from 1 species